rnacentral:rRNA from 1 species
GCAGUCGAACGGUGAAAGAGAGCUUGCUCUCUGGAUCAGUGGCGAACGGGUGAGUAACACGUGAGCAAUCUGCCCCUGACUCUGGGAUAACAGUUGGAAACAGCUGCUAAUACCGGAUACGAGCUUCGAAGGCAUCUUCAGAAGCUGGAAAGAACUUCGGUCAGGGAUGAGCUCGCGGCCUAUCAGCUAGUUGGUGAGGUAAUGGCUCACCAAGGCGUCGACGGGUAGCCGGCCUGAGAGGGUGACCGGCCACACUGGGACUGAGACACGGCCCAGACUCCUACGGGAGGCAGCAGUGGGGAAUAUUGCACAAUGGGCGCAAGCCUGAUGCAGCAACGCCGCGUGAGGGACGACGGCCUUCGGGUUGUAAACCUCUUUUAGCAGGGAAGAAGCGAAAGUGACGGUACCUGCAGAAAAAGCGCCGGCUAACUACGUGCCAGCAGCCGCGGUAAUACGUAGGGCGCAAGCGUUAUCCGGAAUUAUUGGGCGUAAAGAGCUCGUAGGCGGUUUGUCGCGUCUGCUGUGAAAACUGGAGGCUCAACCUCCAGCCUGCAGUGGGUACGGGCAGACUAGAGUGCGGUAGGGGAGAUUGGAAUUCCUGGUGUAGCGGUGGAAUGCGCAGAUAUCAGGAGGAACACCGAUGGCGAAGGCAGAUCUCUGGGCCGUAACUGACGCUGAGGAGCGAAAGGGUGGGGAGCAAACAGGCUUAGAUACCCUGGUAGUCCACCCCGUAAACGUUGGGAACUAGUUGUGGGGUCCAUUCCACGGAUUCCGUGACGCAGCUAACGCAUUAAGUUCCCCGCCUGGGGAGUACGGCCG